GCAAGUCGAGCGGUAACAGGAAUUAGCUUGCUAAUUUGCUGACGAGCGGCGGACGGGUGAGUAAUGCCUAGGGAACUGCCCAGUCGAGGGGGAUAACAGUUGGAAACGACUGCUAAUACCGCAUACGCCCUACGGGCCAAAGAGGGGGACCUUCGGGCCUCUCGCGUCAGGAUAUGCCUAGGUGGGAUUAGCUAGUUGGUGAGGUAAUGGCUCACCAAGGCGACGAUCCCUAGCUGGUCUGAGAGGAUGAUC
rnacentral:rRNA from 1 species